rnacentral:rRNA from 1 species
AUGGCAGAAUGCUUCAAUAAGGUGCUCAAGGGUGUACGUGCAUUACCCGUGACGGCAAUAGUUUAAUACACAUUUGACAAGAUGAAUGAAUACUUUUUAAAGCACUCAAUGGAGACUGAUAAGCAGAUUGCUGGUGAGAACAAGGAUAAGCACAAGUACAGUUUCCCACCAAAGGUUGAAGAAUGGUUGGAAUUUCAAUCACGAAAGGCAGACUCCGAAGAAGCUGUACUAUAUGACGACAAUGAGUGGAAGUAUGAGGUGAAAGAGCCCGGAGGAACCACAAACGAUGGCCGCCAACACGGAGGCCGGGCUUUCAAGGUCUCCCUAACACGGUGUGAUUGCAGCUGCAUGAGGCCGUCUUUGCUUCAUCUCCCAUGCUCGCACUUGUUAAAUGCAUCCCGGGUUAGGAAUGUGGACGUCAAUCACCCUCUUACCGUGAGGGAGUCCGAGUUCUCAAUCAUGACGGUUAAGAAUACAUGGACUCCACGGUUCCAGCCAUACUUGGACCAAUCACAAUGGCCGGAACCAUUGGGCACUGCAGUGCUGCUAUAA